GCCGUGAUCGUAUAGUGGUUAGUACACUCCUUUCUGGACGCAAUAACGCAGGUUCGAAUUCUGGGUCACGGCA
rfam:Nematostella vectensis strain CH2 x CH6 NEMVEscaffold_1333_Cont35671, whole genome shotgun sequence.